CGACAGGUGGGAGUACUAACCACAAACGUCUUGGGGGCGGGGAGGGGGGCGUGGCGAGAAAACGCUGGUGACGUCAGAACUGACGGAGAGCUGGUCCCGCAAGCUGCGCUCUCGGAGGUAGUGGUGCCUGGAAGGACGUCUUUAAGAAUGAAGAAUUCUGCCAAAAGGAAGCUGCUUUCUUGGAAAGUUUCCUGUGGCAAUGGCAAGGUUGGAAGAAACUGUGAUGAAUAAGAGGCAGAGGACCAGAGCUGAGUGUGACAUCAUCUUCUCAAGAAUCCUUCAGAACCGGAUGGUAAAAAAUAAUCCUCAAAGGGAACCUUCUUUGGAACAUGGUUUUGAAAUAGAAUCCUUCCUGCUGAAGAUUCAGAAACCUGAGUGUAUACAAGCCAAGAUGCCUUUGCAGAGGUGUGUGCAGCCAGAUACUAAACCCUGGGAAUGACGUCACUUUCCGAAGUCAGUGUCUUGCCUGAUUUAUACUAUGAUUCUAGCAAAAUCCAUCUGCACAGAAGGUGAGAUUGUAAUCUGAAGAGCCCUGUGAAUUGGGAAGCUUGGGCUGAGCUGAAGGUACUCUUUGAUUCUGACGUUAGGUGUCACUACAAUCAAAGAAAAACAGAGCAUGCAAAUGAGCAGUCAAGUGGACCUUGAACCAGCAGGAAGAAAAAAAACAAAUUUCAAUUGUGGUAGGAAGUACCUGGACAAGAACCUACAUGUCUACAUUGCCUUGGUGAAAAAGAACAUCUUGAUACAUAUAUGGCAACAGCAUCCAUUUUCCUAAAUGUUGAUUAGAAACAACAAAUAACUACUUGUCAUAUCUUGCUUUUUUCCCCCCUAAAAAUGCUAAAACUGAUAGGGGCCUCCAAGGGUUUUUAAAGUGAAAUGAUCCCAAAAGGUUACAAAUGAGAUUUUCACAGACUGGUUCAUGGAGAGUUUAGCUCUGAUGAACUUAAGCUUAAACUUUAAAUAUUUUUAAAAUUAUAGAAUUUAUCAGAUGUUUCCCAAGUCUAUUUGUUUCAUAAAAAUGUGAAGAAUCAACAGAUUCAGUGAUUUUAAAUUAGAAAUUUAUUUCAUACUCGGAAAGAAGUGGUUAUUUUGUUUCUUCCACAUUACUGACAUUUGGGUGUUAAGUGUAGUUACCAGGUGUGUUCAUACGUGUUUAUUUAAACAAAAUAUAUGCAAACAGUUGGAUAGCAUGGUGCCCACCUCGUUUGCUUUUAUUCUUAGAGCACAUAGUGAGCUGUCCAUCCUCCCAAUGCGUUAAAUGUAUUUUUCCAUGUAUAUGAAUUGGCACACACUGUUGGAAUAGAUUCAGAGUAUUUAGCAGUUGAUACACCAUAGUGAAAGUGAAGUCGCUUAGUCGUGUCCGACUCUUUGUGACCCAUGGACUGUAGCCACUGACAAAUCUAAUGUGUGUAUAUAUGUAUGUAUAUACACAUAUAUAUACACACAAAUAUACAAAUAUAAUGUGUGUGUGUGUAUAUAUAUAUAUAUACACACACACACACAUACACUCAAAGGUGAUACUCAGCUAGUAGGUACUCAUACAGUCACUUCAGUUGUUAAAUUGUUGAAACACCUUUUCCCUUAGCUGAUAAACAGGCACUCUUUCCAUUGGUCAAUAUCAAGUCCCCUCCCACACACAUAUGCAUUAAUAACUUGGCUUAUCAAGGGCCCACAAGAUCUCUGGGUUAGACUCACAAUACAAGUAUCAAAGUUAAGUCUCAUUUCUCUUUUGGUAGUGGUCCCUACUGCCUUGCAUAGGAAUGGCGUUAGCAUUGAUAAGGUUGCAAUUGGGAAAAAACUGAAAGACACAGGAAGAAGCUUAGUCUAUACAUUUCUACAACAUCAUCCUUUCCCAAGUUGUGAUCAAGGCCUUGAUUCAUCUUCUGUCAUGAUUCUGAAGAGCAUCAUGAUUAAAAUCUGAUGUAACCAUACUACCUUGAUGUGCGCAGGGAGUAUGCUGAUAUUGGGGACAGGUGCGGGAUUCCAUCAGUAUAAUAUUGGUAACAUGUUCAUUUGUUCUAAAAUGUCUUCAACACUGAUCUCUUUUCUUUGUUCCACUUGGUAACUAAUAUACCAGCUUGUGUCAUAUACAAACUGUUGCAUUUAUAUUGGAUGGACAGGAAAGACUUCUGAAUUUGUACAGGCUUGGUGGGCAGGCAGAAG